GACGAACGCUGGCGGCGUGCUUAACACAUGCAAGUCGAACGGAAAGGCCCUGCUUUUGUGGGGUGCUCGAGUGGCGAACGGGUGAGUAACACGUGAGUAACCUGCCCUUGACUUUGGGAUAACUUCAGGAAACUGGGGCUAAUACCGGAUAGGAGCUCCUGCUGCAUGGUGGGGGUUGGAAAGUUUCGGCGGUUGGGGAUGGACUCGCGGCUUAUCAGCUUGUUGGUGGGGUAGUGGCUUACCAAGGCCUUGACGGGUAGCCGGCCUGAGAGGGUGACCGGCCACAUUGGGACUGAGAUACGGCCCAGACUCCUAUGGGAGGCAGCAGUGGGGAAUAUUGCACAAUGGGCGGAAGCCUGAUGCAGCAACGCCGCGUGCGGGAUGACGGCCUUCGGGUUGUAAACCGCUUUCGCCUGUGACGAAGCGUGAGUGACGGUAAUGGGUAAAGAAGCACCGGCUAACUACGUG
rnacentral:rRNA from 1 species